AUGACCUCCACCAUGGCCUGGUCCCCGCUCCUCCUCAGCCUCCUCGCUCACUGCACAGGGUCCUGGGCCCAGUCUGUGCUGACUCAGCCGGCUUCCGUGUCUGGAGCCCUGGGCCAGACGGUCACCAUCUCCUGCAGCUCCAUCAGUGGUAGUUAUGUGAGCUGGUACCAACAGCUCCCAGGAAAAGCCCCCAGAACCAUCAUCUAUGGUAAUAACAAACGACCCUCUGGGGUCCCGGAUCGAUUCUCUGGCUCCAAGUCUGGCAACUCAGCCACCCUGACCAUCACUGGGCUCCAGGCUGAGGACGAGGCUGAGUAUUACUGUGCAUCGGGUGACAGCACAGGCAGUUUUGGGGGAGGUACAGAGCUUUUCCUAAAUCCGGUUCCUUUCCCAAAAACCUACUACAACGUUCUCCUAUUGUCUCUAGACCCCAGCAUCACCCUCUCUGUGUCUCUCCCCCUUGCAGGGUCCUGGGCCCAGUCUGUGCUGACUCAGCCACCCUCCGUGUCUGGGGCCCUGGGCAAGAGGGUCACCAUCUCCUGCACUGGAAGCAGCUCCAACCCCAGGGAUUAUGCGCUUUAG